UUACACUGGACAUUGUUUGGAACUUUCUCCAGGUUGCUUUUGCUGAUUAGUUUAACACAAUAAGACAAUUUUCUUCACUCUGUUCUAUCUUAGGGACUGCUACCACCUGGGCGUCCAGAUCAACUUUGACUAUCAUCGCUUCUUAAAGUUUGCCAGGGUGUGUGAGGUUGACGGCUGGAAGCACAUCUGUGUUAGAGACAAGGUAAAGACAAUGUUACUCCUACUCUUGUAUCAGAUUGUAAACAGAUUUGUUCCGACUAAACUAUAGGCAAUACUCUCAACAGGAGGAGGAUAAUAUGACUGAAAUGUUCCACACCAGGCUCUGUCUCCACAGAAGAGCCUACCAGCACAAAGUGACCAAGAUCAUAGAGACUAUGAUCACAGAUGCCUUUUUAAAAGCAGACAAGCACAUCAAGAUUGAAGGCACAGGAAAGGAAGACGUUUCAGACUCUCCACAGCCAUUGAUGACAUGGAAGCCUACACUAAGCUGACAGGUCUGUAGAUAGCACUGGGACAAAUCUGGUUCUCUAGCUGUAAGAACACGUGUUUGUUUGGUAAAUCUUUAUAAUAAUAAUCAUAAGCAAUUGUAAAAUAUGUCAUUACAAUUGCAAUUUGAUUUUUUUAAUUAAUUCACAUUUUAUUUAGCUGAUUUUCUUAAAGUUUGGUUAAAAUCUGUGCUAUAUUUUGAUAAAAACCUAGUUACUAACAGUUAGGCUACCUAGCUUAUUAUUGAGAAACUAACAGGUAUAUUGCAUUAAGAGGUAAUAAGUUUUGUUGGAGUUGUUGGAGUUUAAAACUCAUGUAAACGCUAUCAAAUCCAAUAAAGAGCAGGACAGUUGUAAACAUUACCCUAGACUUUGACACAGUAGCAACUACAAUCAUGUGAAUAUGCAUGUAAAUUCACUGAUCUUCCACUCUGUUUAUCUGUUUCUCUGUAGAUGCUGUGUUUGAAAAAAUACUCAACUGUGCAUUUGACGCACCCCAGGAGCUGAGGGAUGCAAGAGACAUUCUACGCAGGAUCAUUAAUCGAGACCUCUACAGGUUUCUGGGUGAAACGCGGUUUGAGGAUCCCACUGAGGUUUGUACUAAUGUCUUUGUGGGCCUUUAUUGCAUUACACUGUCUGUCAUAUCAUCUAUUUCUCUGUUAUGAUGAAGCUCCUUUUGUGUGCA
rnacentral:lncRNA from 15 species